AUUUACAAUCAUCAGCACCUCCAUCCCCAUCCCACCCCCCCAAAAGCAACAGAUAAAUCUUAGAAAAUCGACAGACACUCCCAGGCUGACACAGAGGAGUGAGAUAGAUGGUGAGGGGCUCUUUGGGGCCUCUGGCAGCCAAAGCUGUGUGGUCUCAGUUCCCUUCUCUGCCCAGUGUUUGCAGCACUUGUCCACCUGCCUUCCUCACCUGGAGCCAUCUCUCUGCUUUUCAGGACCCCACAACAGCCAGGGUGUCAGGUGCCUAUGCUCUCCCUCAAGCCUCAAGCCUGUAUCUGUAUCUAUAUCCAGGGACAUGAACAAGAACCAAGGUAGUAGGAGAUUUAACUUAGAGCACUCUCAAACCUCAGGCCAAUGUUUGGGGGGAGGAAUCCCCACCCAGGACAAAGAGAAUCCCCCUUCCUAUUUUUGCCAGUGUGCUAGUUUUAAUCAUCAUCAUCAUCCCUGGCAAGAAAGAAUUCUCUGAGCACGGAGAGGGUGGCAACAAUGACUACUGAGAUUAUAUUCCAUUUAGGGGGGAAGGGGAGGAUUUUUUUUUAAUUUUAUUUCGAGGGGAUCAAGACAGUCUGAACUUUAGAGAGUAUUGUAAUGUACUGGAGAGAGGGGACACAAGACUCGCCCCCCCCCCCCACCCCGGAGCAAUUGGUGGGAAACUAGAUCUCAAAGCAGAAAAUGAAAAGUCGAUCUGGGGGAAGAUUUUUAAAUAAGUGGGUCAGAGGGACCGAGAGGAGAUGAGGCGAUCAAUCUUAGCCCCCUGACAGCUCCCUCCGAUGGCAUCAAAGAAUUUGGCUCUUUGGGAAAGCCGAGGGAACAGCCGAAAUUCCACAUCCCUUUAAAAGGCCUGGGGGUGGGGGUGAUAGCAAAAGAGAAAGGUGAUUCUGGGAGAGCAGGGGAACAGAUGGGCAAUGGGGACAGAGGGAAGGACGCUGAGUUGGGUGGAAAGUUUGUGUGGCGAACUCCCACGGCUCUGGCCUCCCCUCCCCCUCCUCCUCUGGGCUGCCCAGCAAGGAGGAGAAGGCUGGUUAGCAGAGAAAUGGCAACUCAGCCGGGAGCUGGAACUAGAAACUUUCUGUCAAUGUAACAGCCGCGUGGGUGGCGACCCAAUGGUGGUUGGGCUUCGGGUCACGUGACGACUUCUUUGUAGCUCCGGAAGAGAACUGUGAAGUUUAGGUUCCUUGGAAGAGCAGAGAACUGCAAGGAAAAAAAAAAUCAAGAUUUGGAGGAAUUACUCACAGA